CUCCUAGGGGAUUCAUGCUGUGUGCUGCCGGGGCAAAGGCUCCAUGAUCAAGAGGAAUUCCCGCUGCACGGUCACUGUCACAUUUUUGACACUGAGUCAAACACACCAGCCCUAGGAAGGGGGAUGCCCCAAGUGUACUCAAAGAGCCAACAGUGUUUCUGAGGAUUUUUCAGCACCUGGAUUAUAGGACACUACAAAUAAGGGGCUGCAGGACUUUCAAAGCGACUGAGGAGUCCACAGAGCCAUCCCUGUGACUGACCCAGCACCUUCCGGAUGUCUUGGAUUCCUCUCUUGGAAACUGAAGGAGAAGAGCAGAUUCCCCGGGCCUAUCUUUGUGGGCUGAGGUGUGGCCCCUUGACAAGGAUGCCAAGAUUUCUGGAAUUCCUCAGGAUGCACCAUUGACUCCGUGAGGGCCCCCUCCCAGAAGGCUGGACAAGAAGAAUUGAAGCAAUAUUUUCAUCUGCUGGAAGUUUAAAUGUUAAUAAAUAGUUUAAAAUGUAAGUAUCUAACA
rnacentral:lncRNA from 1 species